GGGUAAAGCCGCAAGGCGCUUUGAGAUCGGCCUAGGUCCGAUCAGCUAGUUUGUGAGGUAAUGGCUCACCAAGGCUAUGACCGGUAGGGGUGCUGAGAGGCAGUUCCCCAACGACGAGACUGAGACACGGCUCGUACACCUACGGGUGGCAGCAGUCGAGAAUAUUCCACAAUGGGCGAAAGCCUGAUGGAGCGACGCCGCGUGCAGGAAGAAGGCCUUCGGGUUGUAAACUGCUUUUCUACAGGAGGAAGUCCCGCUCUUUUGGUGGUACAAUUUUGUUUAUGUAUUAUGUGUAUGUUUUGCUAAGCGCAAAAGAUGGAUACUUGUACGUUGGGGAAACACAUGAUUUGAGACAAAGAUUUUUGGCUCACAAAUCAGGAAAUGUUUUUUCAACAAAAAAUCAUUUGCCACUUAAGCUUAUCUACUACGAAGCGUAUUUAAACAAAAUCGAUGCUCUUAAAAGAGAAAAAAUGCUCAAACAUCAUGGCUCUGUUAUUGGUCAUUUAAAAAAGAGAAUUAUUAACAGUGCAUAUGAGGUAGUGCCAAAAGAGCGGGAUUGACGUUACUGUAGGAAUAAGAGGUUGCUAACUCUGUGCCAGCAGCAGCGGUAAUACAGAGACCUCGAGCGUUAUCCGGAUUUAUUGGGCGUAAAGGGCGCGUAGGAGUCUUGGCGCAUCUUUGGUUAAAGACCGGAGCUUAACUUCGGGAGUGCCAAAGAGAUGGCCUCGAUAGAGGAUGUCAGAGGUAAGCGGAACGCACGGUGUAGGGGUGAAAUCCGUUGAUAUCGUGCGGAACACCAGAGGCGAAGGCGGCUUACUGGGGCAUUCCUGACUCUGAGGCGCGAAAGCGUGGGUAGCAAAAAGGAUUAGAUACCCUUGUAGUCCACGCCCUAAACGAUGCCAACUAGCUAUCGGGAGUAUCGACCCUCUCGGUGGCGAAGCUAACGCGUUAAGUUGGCCGCCUGGGAAGUACGGCCGCAAGGCUAAAACUCAAAGGAAUAGACGGGGACUCGCACAAGCGGUGGAGCAUGUGGUUUAAUUCGACGUUAAACGAAACACCUCACCAGGGUUUGAAACCCAAACGACGAUAGUCUGAAAGGAUUAUCUUUAUGGAGUUUACUUCAAAACGGUUGGGCAGGUGCUGCACGGUUGUCGUCAGCUCGUGGCUUGAGUUGUUCCCUUAAGUGGGUUAACGAGCGCAACCCCUGCUGUCUGUUACAAGUGUCAGACAGGACUGUCCGCUAAAGGCGGAAGGAAGCGGGGAUGACGUCAAAUCAGCGUGGCCCUUUGAUACCCUGGGCGACACACAUUCUACAAUGGCUGGUACAACGGGUUGCCAAGUCGCAAGACGGAGCCAAUCCCAUCAAAGCCAGCCCCAGUUCAGAUUGGAGUCUGAAAUUCGACUCCAUGAAGUUGGAAUCGCUAGUAAUCGCGGAUCAGCAAGCCGCGGUGAAUACGUUCUCGAGUCUUGUACUCACCGCCCGUCACACCAGGGGAGUCGGGAAUAGGUAAAGCCCAGCCCCAGUUUUACAGGACGCUUUUUACAAAAAAGUGCCUGUGGUACGCAACACAUUUUUUCGCGAAAAUGUUUGUUGUAAAACUGGGGCUGGGUUAAUCUAAGCUCGGUGACACGGGUGAAGUCGUAACAAGGCACGUGUAGCGGAAGCUGUGCGUGAAUCAAUUACAUA
rnacentral:rRNA from 1 species